UCUGUGGACUGUUAUAUAAACGAGAAUAGAUAGACAAUGAACUUCUGCGAAGUUCAUUGUCAUUGAAAUUGGACAGGUUGAAACAGAAA
rnacentral:sRNA from 12 species